UUGUACACACCGCCCGUCACACCAUCCGAGUUGGAGAUACCCGAAGUCACUAGCCUAACCCGCAAGGGAGGGCGGUGCCGAAGGUAUGUUUGGUAAGGAGGGUGAAGUCGUAACAAGGUAGCCGUACCGGAAGGUGCGGCUGGAUCACCUCCUUUCU
rnacentral:rRNA from 2 species